rnacentral:lncRNA from 1 species
GAAACUUGAAUACGUACCUUAUAGGAUCUAGGGUGUAAGGGCAAGUUGGGAAAAGAAAAGGGGAUGUAGCUUGUUUAUUGUUUCAAACUAAAAAUUUAAUUAAAAAAUUGAAUUUAAACUUAUCACUUAGUUCAUGUUUGAUUUGAGGGCUCAUAAAAUAUUAUAUAAAACAAAUAAAAUUAUAUAUAUAUAUAACCAUAUUUUCACUCCUUUGCAAUUAUCAUAUAAUACAACGGAGAAUAGUAAAGUAAAUUAUUUCAAAGGCAAUAAUAAGGCAUGACCAUAUCCAUAUAUAUAUAUAUGUUACACUUAAAAGUGGCAGCAGAAAUACAUACACACACAAUUAUACUCAUGCAAAAUGGACUUUUAUCUUUAAUUUAAAUCCAAAUACAUUNNN